rnacentral:rRNA from 1 species
UAUGUGAUCGUCUCUCGCAUAUCAAUAAGCGGAGGAAAAGAAACUAACAAGGAUUCCCCUAGUAACGGCGAGUGAAGCGGGAAGAGCUCAAAUUUGAAAUCUUAAAGGGUUUCCCUUUACGAAUUGUAGUUUAAAGAAGUGGUUUUCUGUUGAGGUUUUGGUAAAAGUUCUUUGGAAUAGGACAUCAUAGAGGGUGAGAAUCCCGUAUUUGACCUUUACUUUCAACUUUGUGAUACACUUUCAAAGAGUCGGAUUGUUUGGGAAUGCAGUCCAAAAUGGGUGGUAAAUUUCAUCUAAAGCUAAAUAUUGGCGAGGAGACCGAUAGCGAACAAGUACCGUGAGGGAAAGAUGAAAAGAACUUUGAAAAGAGAGUUAAACAGUACGUGAAAUUGUCAAAAGGGAAGCGUUUGACACCAGUGUUGUUUUUCUGAAAAUCAAUUAAAGAACUGUUUAUGCUAAGCUGUUUAGACUUUAUCAGCUAUCUGUUUAGUUUUGAGCUUUUCUUUAAUGCACUUUUCAGUUAACAAGUCAACAUCAAUUUCUUUUGCUGUAAAAAAGCUUGAGGAAGGUGGCUUGAGAUUCGUCUUAAGUGUUUAUAGCCUCUUGCCUAUGCAGUCGGAGAGAUUGAGGUCUGCAGCGUAGAUCCUUCGGGGCUAAAUGCAUUUGUGCUAAGUUAUAGCAUUUUAUAGACAACUUGUUGACUAUGAUUUGUCUUGUAGCUUACUCGCUUAUGUUAUUUUACCUACGCUUAGGAUGUUGACACACGCGCGUGCUCG